CUUAGGCCUAACACAUGCAAGUCGARCGCKGUAGCAAUACAGAGUGGCAGACGGGUGAGUAACGCGUGGGAACGUACCCUUCGGUCUGGAAUAACCCAGGGAAACUUGGGCUAAUACCGGAUACGUGCGAGAGCAGAAAGAUUUAUCGCCGAAGGAUCGGCCCGCGUCCGAUUAGCUAGUUGGUGAGGUAAAAGCUCACCAAGGCGACGAUCGGUAGCUGGUCUGAGAGGAUGAUCAGCCACACUGGGACUGAGACACGGCCCAGACUCCUACGGGAGGCAGCAGUGGGGAAUAUUGGACAAUGGGCGCAAGCCUGAUCCAGCCAUGCCGCGUGAGUGAUGAAGGCCUUAGGGUUGUAAAGCUCUUUC
rnacentral:rRNA from 1 species